AGGCGCCCCCAAACGCGAACCCGGGACCUCCGCGCCCGCCGCUGUGGGGAGGGUGCGGCCCGAGACGCUUGGAGGGCGGCGGGCGCCGGAAUCGCAGCCUGCUGUGGCCACUUGCCCGCACUCUUGCCUGACUGACCAUUUUCCGCUCUGGCUACUGGGCCUCCCACGGAGUUCUGUCCUCAGGGUUCGUCAAUUACCUGGAAUUGCGUAACCGCCCGUUACAGGCCAGACCGAGGCCGAGAGCGAUUUCUCCAGACAACAGUCUGGAAUUCCUCAAGGAGCGUACCCUCUAGUUUUCACGAUAGGAUAAAGGGCUUGAGAGAGCACUGAGGAGGAGUCACUUAUUCUGCCUGAGGGGAAGUCAGGUUGCUAUCUGAAGUUGGCCUUGCGGCUGCUGUCCCAUUUGCGGGAGCCGUAGCCGCAGGUGACACCUGAGCUCUCGAAAUGUGGCUGGUCUGAAUAGAGAUGUGUUCCAAGAUUUAGAAGAUUUAAUUUAAAAAGUGAUAUUUUGGGUAUAUUGGGUUAAAUAUAUUAAAAUUAAUUUCACCUGGUUUUAACUUUUUAAAUGUGGCUAUAAAUAUGGCUUGCAUUAUAUUUCUAUUGGAUAGUGCUACCUUGCAGCAUUAAGAUGGAUUUGACUAGAAAAGAUGAGAAGGGCCUACAAACAGUGAGUAAACCCAUUGCUGUUAGAAUCUGUUUAUAACCUACAAGUCACAUUCACAUUCCUUAUUUCAUCAUUACAACAAUUUUCAAAAAUUUUAUUUAGUAGACUUAAAAAAUAAUUGACUCACUUAAGGUCAUAUGUGACAAUCAUUCGUUUAAUGCAUAUUUAUUUUCUACGUGUGCCAGACACUGUAACUAAAUGCUGGGAGUUAAAGGAUUCACAGUCUGGGGAAGCACAUGUCAACAAAUAUUUGCAAUAAAAACGUAGAUUCUAAAACAGAGGAACGUACGCUGCACUUGAAGCAAAGAGAAGUGACCACGUAUGGGACGGAGGUCAGAGAAGGCCCCCCACUCUGACAGAAAUCGUGAGGCAGAGAAGAGUCAGGAGGGCUGUCUAAUGAAAGAGGAAAAUGCAGUAGACACGCAGUUGGGAAGAGUAUAGAGCAUAUUCUAGGAGCAGAUCAUGGGAUAUGUCGGGGUAGUAGUAGAGCCAGAAUUUUUAUCCCGGGUCCUGGAACUAAGUCCAGGGGUUCUUUUCACUUAUGCUACCACUGGUGGUAAAUAUAAGGUGCGUUAAUUGGAGUAGGCUAGCAAAACCAGUAUCUCGGGGCUUAACUCCAUAAAGGCUUAUGUUCAUACAAGUCACAGUGUGGUAACAAGUUGGUUGGGGCCAGAGGGUGGGGUCUGUACUUCUUGAAUUCAUUGAAGGACCAGGCUUCUUGCAUUUGGUGGUUCUCCCAUGCCGAGGCCUUGGUAAUGUAGUCAAAUCUGUGGCCCUCAGAUAAGGGAGGCUGGCCGUGGUUAACUUGUCAGAGAUAUUAGGGGCCAGUCCUGGAAGUGGUGUGUAUCAUUUUCACCCCAUUCCCUUAGCCAGAACUCAUGCGCAUGGUCACAUGGCCCUACCCAGAAGGGUGGCUGGGAAGUAAAGAAUGUGUGCCUCAUGGAAAAGGAAAUGGGCGCUGCUGGACACAGCAUUGCCUCGUCACACAGAGUUAAAUUGAACAUAACCAAGUACGUAAACCUGACUUUACCUGAAAAGAAUGUUUGGAAAGAACUGAUAGAUAUUAUAAUAGCCCAAACUCUCCUCGACUGUUUUGGGAAACAAAUCAGUGUGAGAUUGUUUCCAAAAAAUAAAAAAAGCCAGGUGCAGUGUCUCAUGCCUGUAAUCCCAGCACUUUGGGAGGUAGAGGCGGGCGGAUCACAAGGUCAGGAGUUCAAAACCAGCCUGGCCAACAUAGUGAAACCCUGUCUCUAGCUGGGCAUGGUGGUGCGUGCCUGUAGUCCCAGCUACUUGGGAGGCUGAGGCAGGAGAAUCGCUUGAAACCAGGAGGUGGAAGUUGCAGUGAGCAGAGAUCGUGCCACUAAUACUCCAGCUUGGGCAACAGAAUGAGACUUCGUCUCAAAAAAAAAAAAAAAAAAAGAGGCUGAAUGGUAUCAUCUUCUUUAUACCAGAACCUUUUCUUUUUAAAAAUAACUUUUAUAAUUUUAAAUUUGUGUAGUUACAUAAUAGGUGAAUAUCUUUAUGGGGUACAUGAGAUAUUUUGAUGCAGGUAUGCAAUGCAUGAUAAUCACAUCAUGGGAAUCAGGUAUCCAUCCCCUCAAGCAUUUAUCCUUUGUGUUACAAACAAUCCAAUUAUACCCUUUUAGUUACUUUAAAAUGUACAGUUAUUAUUGACUAUAAUAACUAUUAAAUACUAGGUCUAUUAAAUACUAGGUUGUUCUAUUAAAUACUAGGUCUUAUUCAUGCAUUCAAACUAUUUUUUGUACCCAUUAACCAUCCUCACUGUCCCCAUUCCCCCAUUACCCUUCCCAGCCUCUGGUAACCAUCCUUCUACUCUCUAUCUCCAUGGGUUGAAUUGUUUUGAUUUUUAGAUCCUCCAAAUAAGUGAGAACAUGUGAUGUUUGUCUUUCUGUGUCUGGCUUAUUUCGCUUAACAUAAUGACUUCCAGUUCCAUCCAUGUUGUUGCAAAUGACUAAAUCUCAUUCUUUUUUUAUGGCUGAAUAGUGCUCCAUUGUGUGUAAGUACCAUUUGUUCUUUAUUCAUUCAUCUGUUAAUGGACACUUAGAUUGCUUCCAAAUCUUGGCUAUGGUGAACAGAGCUGCAACAAACAUGGGAAUGCAGAUAUCUCUUUGAUAAACUGAUUUCCUUUCUUUUAGGUAUAUACCCAGCAGUGGGAUUGCUGGAUCAUAUAGGAGCUCAAUUUUUAGUUUUUUUGAGGAACCUCCAAACUGUUCUCCCUAGUAGUUAUACUAAUUUACAUUCCCACUAGCAGUGUAUGAGGGUUCCCUUUUCUCUACAUCCUUACCAGCAUUUGUUAUUGCCUGCUUUUUGAAUAUAAGCCAUUUUAACAGGAGUGAGAUGAUAUCUCAUUGGAGUUUUGAUUUGCAUUUCUCUGAUGAUCAGUAAUAUUGAGCACCUUCUCAUAUGUCUGUUUGCCAUUUGUAUGUAUUCUUUUGAGAAAUGUCUAUUCAAAUCUUUUGCCUAUUUUUUAACCAGAGUAUUAGAUUUUUUCCUGUAGAGUUGCUUGAGAUCCUUAUAUAUUCUGGUUAUUAAUCUCUUAUCAGAUAAGUAGUUUGCAAAUAUUUUCUCCCAUUCUGUGUGUUGUCUCUUCAAUUUGUUGAUUGCUUCUUUUGCUGUGCAGAAGCUUUUUAACUUGAUGUGACCCCGUUUGUCCAUUUUUGCUUUGGUCGUCCGUACUUGUACAGAACCUUGUCUUAAACAUCACAAGGAAUAAAUUCAAAAUGUCUUUAUAUUAUGCUUUGGUGUGCCAUCUCUUUAGUUAUCAGUUAACAAACCCUGCAAGGUGUAGAUCUGCAUGGGUUCAGGGACAUUAAGUGAGCCAAGAGGCACAAUCAGGAAUUGAGCCCUGGUCUGACUUCUCACUGGGUGCACCUUUAACCAGAGUGGUACUUUACCUUUUACAAUGGACAAGUACAAACUCCUAUGCAAUGUUACAGCAGGGAUUAAUUAACUAUGCAUUGAGUAGCAGGCAGAUGAUUCCAUCUUUUUCAGACUUUCUGAUGGAGGAGUUUCAAGAUCAGCUUUGAAGGUGAAAUGUAGGAAGGGCAUCCCAUAUAGAAUCAGAAGGCAGAAAUGGACAUGCUGUGGCAUGUUGUGGAAUGAAGAACACACAUAUGUGGGGGUGUCAGUCUAGAGUAGAGAAGAAACAGGGAAAUUGAUAGAAUAGUGGAUGAAGGUGGUGGAUGAAGAAUUUUUUAUUUGCUAUAUCAGGUGAUAGGGAGUCAUUAUAUUUGUGUUUAAAAGGAAGUGAUACACCUGAUGGUGCCAAUUAUAUCAUUGUAAGGAGACUUGGUGGUCCUGGGCUGCUCUGUUGAUGGAAUUCUGGUAACUGGGAUGAGUUGGGCACACAGGUGGAUUCUAAUGUGUGGAAUACAGAGUUCCUUGGGACAUAGCAGCAUUCUUCCUGCUGCUGUUGGUCAUAAGUAGAUACAGGGUAUGAACUGUGAGAGUGAGUGGCUGCAGUGGUGAACACAAUCAUUUAAGGUAAAAUAAAGCCAAGGAACUGAGAGACUAGAGUGCUAGCAGGGAUAGGGUUCAAAAUAUUUAACUACUAGUGCUAGCAUGGCAUGGACCCAUCAAAAUAGAUGUAGCCCAUAACGCUGGUGCAGGGUCCUGCAGGCACCUUGUUGUGUUAGAUGAUUACUUUUUGUUUCUGAAUCGUGAAGAGAUCUGUUGAAUCCUGAUGAGGGGCUAGAGCAUUGAGGCAUGACAUUGAAGAGGAUUGACAGUGGCUAUGAAAAUAUUUCAGUAUUUUAGCAAGGAAUACAAUUAUACUUGCACAUAUUCAUAUGCAUGAGAUGCAUUGUCCUCAUGGAUGUUGAAGUCACUAGGAAUAAUGAAGGCAUUAUGGAGAGAGGGAUAGUAAGCCAGUUGAUGGAGUCUUAAAUGAAAGGUGAGUGACCAGGAGUGUGGUAGGUAAUAAUAACAAGGAGGAGUGUGUGUGGAAUAGUUUGAUGACAUGUGCUUCAAUGCAGCUGGACAUUAUUUAGAGAGGAAGGAUGAAAAUGGUACUUGAAGCAGCAAGGAGAAAAGAGAGUUCACUAUACUGAACAGAGACCACUUGCCCCAACACCGAACCUGAAGUAGAGCCUGGGUAUCUGAAAAAAGCUGUCCCAUAGAAUGAGAGAACCACAGCGAGAUGAGAAGGGCAUGCGGAGAAGGCUUUGCCUUGGCCCUCAGAGGAGCAGAUGCUCAGUAUGACAGAUGUGAUUCUAGAGUAAGAGAAGAAGAUUAGGGAAAGUGUCAGUAGCCCCCAGAAUGCCUGUGACACAGCUAGAAGAAUCUCAUUGACAGUGGGAUCAAUGUAGGACAGAGGGAAGAAUGGAGGCAGCUUACACCUGAAAUAAGGAUGAUGUCAGGCCCACAGAAAUGUAACUUGUGGGUGAAAAGACUGUCCAUCAAGGAAAUCAGAAAUCCCGCUGCCCAAGCAAUUCUCAAAAUCACCAUACAGAGAGAUCUGUUCAUGACCAUGGUAUAGACCACAGGGUGGCGGAUGGUAGCAUAGUGAUCAUAGGCCAUGGCAGAGAACAGACAGGCUUCCGUUCCCCCAGAGAGAGUGAAAAAGAAACUUGGUGAGGCAGCCCCACAUUGAGAUGCUUUUCUUCUGAGAGGAAAUUUUGUAGCAUCCUGGGCACAGUAACUAGGAGUAGCUGAGAUCCAGAAAGGACAGAUGUCAAAGGAAGAAGUACAUGGGUCUUUGAAGGUGAGAAUCAGCCCUGAUCUCCAGGAUCAUCACCAGCUUCCCCGUCAAAGUCAGGAGAUGAAUCACCAGGAUUAGCACAAAGAGCAUGAUCUGGAUCUCUGCAUCACUGGAAAAUCCCACAAGGACAAACUCAGGACUAAUAUUGACAUUUAUUAUGGUUGCUUAGAGAUUCUGUCCCUCAAAAGAAAUGAAUGGUUCUCUACUUGGCAGGGCAUUCAUCUGAGUCAUUCUCACUGAACAGGAGUUUUCUACUUACAGACGAGUAUACCUCCUUACCUAUGGCCCAAAAUGGGAAACUCGGGAUAAGGAAGUGUCAUCUUAAGUACAAUCUCCUCACUUGCCCUUCUUUCCUACCUUCUAGUACUGUCUCUGCAUGAUCUUGAAGGCUUUACUCUGUACCUCCAUCACUGUUUAGUAAAUGUACCAAGUGCAUAUGAAUCAGCUCCCCACACAUCUAAAUAUUUUGUAAGGAGAUACUUUGAAAGGGUAAGUCUGGCUCCAUGAAUGUCCCAUCUGUAUAGCUGCAAAGUAUCCUGAUUUAGAAGGGUCCUGAGCUCUGGCCCUGUUUACUUUUUUUUUUUUUUUUUUUAGACAGGGUCUCACCAUGUUGCCCAGGCUGGAGUGCAGUGGCACAAUCACAGCUCACUGCAGCCUCGACCUCCUGGGCUUGAGCGAUCUUGCUGCCUCAGCCUCCUGAGUAACUGGGACUACAUGAGUAGCUGGGACUACAGGUAUGUACCACCAUGCCCAGAUACUUUUUUUUAAUUUUUUUUUUUUUGUAGAAACAGGGUCUUGCUAUGUUGCCCACGGUGGUCUGAAUUCUUGGGCUUAAGCCAUCCACCUGCUUUGGACUCCCAAAUUGCUGGAUUUACAGGCAUGAGCCACCAUGCCUGGCUUAGUAGGAAGUUCACUUAAAUUAUAAUAUAUUCCAGUAAUCCUUGGCUCUGACACCCAGCCAAUGGUCUCUAUAGUUCUGUGUCAACUGCUACUGAAGUAAAAAGAGCACUAGUCUUAGAGUAAGGGGCUUAGUUUGUCCUGGCCCACACAUUCUAGUGGGAUAAUCUGGGAAAAGUUCAUUUUUUUAAGCCUUAACUUAUUUAUUUGUGAAACUGAGUAAACAAAAUAAAUACCCUUGUAAACCAUAUAGCCUAUGAUCUUCUGUACAAAAAUUAAAUUUAUAUAUGUAUGAGCAAAGACUGACAUUGAAUUUUGAAAAAUAGAUUUCUCUACUGGGUAUUAGGCUGAUGGACAUUUUUCUUUGUCUUUCUUUUAAUUCUUAUAUAUUUAGAGGGUACAGUGAAGUUUUGUUACUUGGAUAUAUUGUGUAGUGGGGAAGCCUGGGCUCUUGGUGUAGUCAUCACCUGAAUAGUGUACAUUUUACCCCUUAAGUAAUUUCUCAUCCUUCAGCCCCCUCCCACCCUCCUACCCUUCUGAGCCUCCAUUGUUAUUUCUCUGAUGUUGUAAAAUUAUUUUUUCAUUGUAUAUAUAUGUUUGUGUGCAUGUGUGCAGUAAAAAGGACUUGGAGAUUUUCAGGAAAUACCCAGCCUAGUUCUGUUUUCUCCAGAGAUAAAAGGCAAAGGAAAAACCUGAAUUGAAGUGAGAGAAAAGUGCUAGGGCAAAGGAAGCUAAACUUCUAAAGAAAAAUUUGUCUCGUGGUCUCUUCCCCCCGUCAUCAUUGGACAUCUCAGUAGUUUGAUUCCACUUGGGUACAUGUGACUGGACCAGAUGCCCUCUUGAAAUGCCCCAGACCUAGGAUCCCAGACCACUGCCCCGGCAGUGUUUACAAAGUGUGUUAAACAGAAUCCUAUAUGCUCUGUUAUAGUGCUUCAGGGGCCACCAUAUGUGUUGAAGGGGUGAGGAGUUAGAGGGUGCCUCUCUGCCCUCAUAGCCACCCUAAUCAAUUUGUCUCUCCUUUUAUCUGUUUAAUAGUACUUGAUUUUUAUAGUAGGAUUUCAUUGAAGCAAGGAUUCCAUUACUAAAUCCCUUUCUAAAACUAGAGCUUUAAUGGCCAGAAGAAAUAAAAAUUUCUAUCCCUGUUUUCCACUCUCUUCAUUUCUGAUCCUCCAGGAAAUCUCCCUCCUACUCUUCAUCUGGCUGCUGCAGCUAGUAACACAUUUUAAAAUAAAAGGCUAACUUUUGGGGGGUCCAGAACUUGAUACAUAAAGAAACAGAACAGAAAGACUUCAGAUGGAGGAAGGGCAGAAGCCUCAACCUUCCGGCUCAGCCAUUACUUGAUUGGCUGAGAUAGCACUGUUUGACUUUGAGAAACACACAUCCCUAAUCUGUGUCCAGUUUCCUCCUGUGUAGGAUAUGGGGCUUGGACCUGUUGUUUUUGCAGAUCCCUCCCGUUACAUAGUCUGUAUGCCUCCGGGUUUCUCUCACCAACCUUACUGAGCAGGGGUGCUCCGGGUCUGACAGGUCUUCUGACUUCUGAGCUGGGCUGCCUGCCAUAAGGCACUGCUGCUGGAAGGAGACUCGGUUCCUGCAGCUGGAGUUGAGAGGCCUCCAGACAGUCCCCAGGAAAAGUGGACUUUGCUUUCCAGUGAGUGACAUGACCAGAGACAGGUACAGACAGGCAGCGACUUAAAGCCAAAGUGUUCAGUAUCUAUCCGCUGGCACAGGCAUGGGUCUUUUUGGAGAUGGCUCUCUUAAGACAGGAUUUUCUCUUCUUUUAUCACCUUUUACUCCCUCAGUCUUGAGGAGAGCUCCUGAUCAGUUUUUGUGACUUCUAUUUCUUCUUUCAUCAAAUCCCUGGGAUCUUGUGCCAGGCAGGCCCUGGUGUGGGGGGUGGUGAGAAGGGGCCCCAGAGAGUCAGGAAUUGCUCAGUGCUCAUGGAAGAGGUGGCAUUAGCCAGAGCAAAGGGGCCUCUGGUCCUGGGACAGAGUGGCUACUGACAUGGCUGUUACCAAGAGAGGUCUGGCUAAGGACAUAGGAGUGUAGAAAGCUCCUAGCCACAAAUUCUACUAAUUAAGAACCAGGGGAUCAAGAGGCUCUGGAAACGAUUUGUCUUGUCUCUGAUCGCUCUGAUUCUGAACAUGAGUGUGUGCAUGCCCAUGCACACAUAUACCUAAGUAAACACAGUUGAAAAGUUUCAUUACUCCUAUGAUGCCAUUUACCUUUUUAACUAUUCUUGCUUCUCCAGCUCUCAGCUUGGGCUCUUGCCUCCUAUUUCACAGAGAUAAUGUUCCUUUCUCUACUUUAGUUUUAUUAUAUCUCCCUCUAUAUAUUGGGCUUUACCACUGGUUAUUGCUCAAGUUUUUCCUAUUUGAAAAUAAAGUGGGCACAAUUAGUAGCCCUUCCUCCUCUGGAGAGAGUUGGCCUCCCUAAAACCAGCCUUGGUUGUCCUGGGAAUGGCAGGGAAAUACCAGCUAUGCUAAAGAAACAUGGUGAGUACAGACACAAGAAAGAUGAAACCAAAACUUUGGCUUACCUCUGUAAACUGGGAAUUACUCUUCUGUAACAGGACUGAAGGGAAGCUAAGCAUUUGGAGUAUAAAAGAAAGCCUAGGCCAGGCACAGUGGCUCACAUCUGUAAUUCCAGCACUUUCGGAAGCUAAGGUGGGCGGAUCACCUGAGGUCAGGAGUUCGAGACCAGCCUGGCCAACAUGGUGAAACCCCAUCUCUACUAAAAAUACAAAAAUUAGCCAGGUGUGGUGGCGGGUGCCUGUAAUCCCAGCUACUUAGGAGGCUGAGGCAGGCGACUCACUUGAAACCGGGAGGCAGAGGUUGCAGUGAGCCGAGAUCAAGUCAUUGCACUCUAGCCUGGGUGACAGAGCAGGACCCUGUCUCAAAAAUAAAUACAUAAAAAUAAAAAUAAAGGCUAUCCAACUCCAGGCUGUUUGAUCCCCCAACUACUUCCUUGUCUUUCCUUCUCUUUAUAGCCAGUUUUUUUUGGAAGGUUAGUCUAUGCCACAAUCUCCUCCUUCACUUCUCAGUCCAUUGUCAUCUGCUUUUUUCUGCUACCUCUAUCGCCCCUAGAGACCAUUCACUUACUAUAUUCAGAACACCAAGAGAUACGUAAAGACUGCGGUUGAUUGGUGAGCUUUGCUGGACUCAGGUGGAGAAGGCUUUGCCUUGGCCCCCAGAAGAGCAGAUGCUCCAGUCAAUUCUGGAGUAGGAAGAAAAGAUUUGGAAUACUUUAUGACUCCCUGUGAUAUGGUUUAGAUGUUUUGUCUCCUCCAAAUCUCAUGUUGAAAUGUGACCUCCAGUGCUGGAAGUGGGCCUAGAGGGAGUUGUUUGGGUCAUGGGGGCAGAUUCCUUAUGAAUAUCUUGGUGCUGUCCUAGUGGUAAUGAUUGAGUUCUCAUUCUACGAGUUCACAUAAGAUCUUGUUGUUUAAAAGAGCCUGGCACCUCCUUUCUUUCUCUCUUGCUCACUCUCACAAUGUGACACACUGGAUCCCCUUGACUUUCCACCAUCAUUGUAAGGCUUCUGAGGCCCUCCUAGAAGCAGAUACCUGCACCAUGCUUCAUGUACAGCCUGCAGAACUGUGAGACAAAUAAACUUGUUUUCUUCUAAAUUACCCAGUCUCAGAUAUUCCUUCAUAGCCGUGCAAAUGAAUGAACACAGUCAGAAAUGGAAGUGAUCUCACCAAAAUUACCUGUUGGCAAUAAGAUAUGUGUUGAAUGAAGGAGAAGUAGAGGCAGCUCAGAGUUGAAGAGAGGUUACAGGGCUUACAGAAGGGUAAGUUUAAUGUAUCCGUCAACUUAGGCCAAGUUAUGCUGUGAUAACAAGUGACCCAAAAUUUCAAUGGCUAACAACAAUAAAGAUUUAAUUCUCAUGCUACAUGUCACUGAGACAGUGGUGGCUUUGUUACUACAUAGCCUUUACUUUAGGACCUAGGCUUAGAGAGCAGCCUUUAAACUGGGAUAUGGCUGGUGUUUGGACUUAUGAAAAGAGAAGAAUGGUGAACUAUAAACUGGUUUUUGAAACUUGUGCUCAGAAGUGAUACCUGUGACUUUUUUUCCAAAGUAAGUCACAUGGCCACAUUUGAGUCAAUCAGGACAGAGAUAAAUCAUCCUCUUACAGGGAGGUGCGUUGAGAUUACAUGGUGAAACCUGAGAUCAAUGGGGUGGGGAGAAAGUAUAAUUCUUCCCCAGGAGGGUUAGCAAAUAUUUUGAAGAGUAAUACAAUCUUCCAUGUUAUUAAUGAAAUUAUUGGUCAGCAAGGAGGUCAGAACCUACUUUUCACCACUUUCUGUCCCCUCUCCUUCUCCAGAGAAAUGCAAAUAAACUGCUUUUGACUGAGAAAUAGAACAAGAGUGACACUUGACAGUUUAUCUGUCACAGGCCAUAGCAGUGAAUAGUCAGGCUUCAGAGUAUCCUGAAGAGAUGAACAAAACUCGGGGUCAUACAGUCCCCAAUGUGAAAUAUAGCCUCUUUGAUUUAUUUGCUUCUUGCUAGGAUACCUUCCCAAUAGGAGUUUUCAAAUAAGGUGGCAGUUUGGUAAAUUUUCUGAGGUUUUCUAUCAUUUAAAAUAUUGGGCCCUAACUUUUAAGAGAGAGUAUCACUGGACACAUAUUCAUAGUUUUGAAAUUUAUUUUCUUCAAGACUUUGGAAAUUUUAUGUUACUCUCUGUAUCUGAUGUUACUUUUGAAAAGUCUGAUUUCAAUCUGAUAUUUUUUCCUUAAUAGGCAGUUCUUCAUCUCUACAAACAUUUUUAGAAUCUUUUAGGAACACCUUAUUUGUCUUAGAAGUCCUCAAGAUUCAUUUUAAGUGUUUAAGUGGUUUUCUUUAUUUGUUAUGUUUAUCUGUCUUGUAUCUAACUUGGAACUCUGAGUACUUUUAAUCCUAGUUUGUUUUUUUCUGUUUUUACUCCAUAUGAAUUUUUUUCUUUACAGCUUUAUUGAAAUAUAAUUAUUGUACAAUAGACUGCAUAUAUUUAAAGUGUGUAAUUUGAUGGGUUUUGACAGAUAUAUGUACCCAUGAAACCAUCAAUGCAAUCAAAAUAAUGAACAUUUCCAUCACCUGCAAGUGGUAGAUUAUUAUUUCUUUAAAUAUGCCUCAGUCAUUUUUUUUUCCUUCUUCCUCCAGGAUGGUUAUUGAAAAUUUUUUGUUUUUGCAUUUCUCAUCUUUUCAUUUUGAAUUGUUCAUAUUUUGUCCAUCUUGGUGUUAUCUAGAAGAGCUUUUCAACUAGAUCUUUCAGCUCAAUAAUUAACUUUUUGGUUAUAUUAUUUUACUAUUUGUCUCAACUAUUUAUUCAUUUUAACCAUUAUAUAUUUUCUAUUUUAAUUAUGAAGUAUACAUAAAAAGACUAUAUGUAAUGUCUGUAUGCAGUAAGAAUGAAGAUAAUUGGACCUCAGUGUAUCUCACCCAGAUGAAGAAAUAAAACAACAACUCCUCACUCCUUCCUAUAAUAACCAUUACCCUGAGUUUUGAGUUUAUGGUUUCCUUGUAUUCUUUUUAUAAUUUUACCUCAAAUGUGUGCAUUCCUAAACAAUAAAUUUAGUUUUGCACAUUUAAAAAUACUACAUAAAAGAAAUAAUAACACAUGUAUUAUUCUGUGAUAUGUUCUGUUCUCUCAAAAUUAUAUUAGAUGAAAACAAUAUUUGACAAAGUGGACAUAGCAAAUCAGUGGGAAAGGGAA
rnacentral:lncRNA from 10 species